ACCAAUACCAUUAUCACCCUGUAGCCCAAGACCGGUUACUCACUGAAGAUAAGCAGCACUGAGCCUGCUUAGUACCUGAAUGGGAGCCCACAUGAGAAUACAAGGUUGCUGUUGGAA
ensembl:rRNA 5S_rRNA 5S ribosomal RNA